rnacentral:sRNA from 1 species
AUCGUGAAGAUUCUUGAGGGUUCAAAGCCGGCGUUUGUGCAACGCCGGCUUGCGUACCA